rfam:Colwellia sp. Phe_37 scaffold_401, whole genome shotgun sequence.
GGGCCUUUAGCUCAGUUGGUUAGAGCAGUGGACUCAUAAUCCAUUGGUCGAAGGUUCAAGUCCUUCAAGGCCCA